rnacentral:rRNA from 1 species
GACGAACGCUGGCGGCGUGCCUAAUACAUGCAAGUUGAGCGCUGAAGGUUGGUACUUGUGCCAUCUGGAUGAGCAGCGAACGGGUGAGUAACGCGUGGGGAAUCUGCCUUUGAGCGGGGGACAACAUUUGGAAACGAAUGCUAAUACCGCAUAAAAACUUUAAACACAAGUUUUAAGUUUGAAAGAUGCAAUUGCCUCACUCAAAGAUGAUCCCGCGUUGGAUUAGCUAGUUGGUGAGGUAAAGGCUCACCAAGGCGAUGAUACAUAGCCGACCUGAGAGGGUGAUCGGCCACAUUGGGACUGAGACACGGCCCAGACUCCUACGGGAGGCAGCAGUAGGGAAUCUUCGGCAAUGGACGAAAGUCUGACCGAGCAACGCCGCGUGAGUGAAGAAGGUUUUCGGAUCGUAAAGCUCUGUUGGUAGGGAAGAACGAUGGUGAGAGUGGAAAGCUCAUCAAGUGACGGUAACUACCCAGAAAGGGACGGCUAACUACGUG